GAUGAACGCUGGCGGCGUGCUUAACACAUGCAAGUCGAACGAAGCACUUUAUUUGAUUUCCUUCGGGACUGAUUAUUUUGUGACUGAGUGGCGGACGGGUGAGUAACGCGUGGGUAACCUGCCUUGUACAGGGGGAUAACAGUUGGAAACGGCUGCUAAUACCGCAUAAGCGCACAGCAUCGCAUGAUGCAGUGUGAAAAACUCCGGUGGUAUAAGAUGGACCCGCGUUGGAUUAGCUAGUUGGUGAGGUAACGGCCCACCAAGGCGACGAUCCAUAGCCGACCUGAUAGGGUGACCGGCCACAUUGGGACUGAGACACGGCCCAAACUCCUACGGGAGGCAGCAGUGGGGAAUAUUGCACAAUGGGCGAAAGCCUAAUGCAGCGACGCCGCGUGAGCGAAGAAGUAUUUCGGUAUGUAAAGCUCUAUCAGCAGGGAAGAUAAUGACGUUACCUGACUAAGAAGCACCGGCUAAAUACGUG
rnacentral:rRNA from 1 species